ensembl:ncRNA lncRNA:CR43945 long non-coding RNA:CR43945
ACAUUGUUUUAGCCAUCAAACUUAACUUAAAAAUUGUUUUGCUACUCGAAAUUGUAUUUACUAUUUAUUGUGAUAUAAAGUUAAAUAUUUCAAGAAGUGUUCUUUUCAGUGUACCGCUUGCGACUGCAGAGAUCUUCGCAUGCAUUUAUUCGGCAGUCGGUAUAAUCCUCUUGUACUUGCAGAUUGUUCAGGCGACUAAUUGCUAAGUGAGCGGCGCGUCGCCGAAUGAGUAAUUUUUCGUAGGUUGGUAUCUGCUGCAAGUGUCUGGAGUCAGCUACAACAAUGUCAAGGGAAUACUGCUUCUGAAAUUAUUGGAUUUGCAUAUUAACAGAUCUGGCAUAAAUGAAUGGAUUCGAUCUGGCUGGGAGUCAUUCGAAUUGGGG